rnacentral:rRNA from 1 species
UACGUAGGGUCCAAGCGUUAUCCGGAAUCACUGGGCGUAAAGGGUGCGUAGGCGGGUCUUUAAGUCAGGGGUGAAAUCCUGGAGCUCAACUCCAGAACUGCCUUUGAUACUGAAGAUCUUGAGUUCGGGAGAGGUGAGUGGAACUGCGAGUGUAGAGGUGAAAUUCGUAGAUAUUCGCAAGAACACCAGUGGCGAAGGCGGCUCACUGGCCCGAUACUGACGCUGAGGCACGAAAGCGUGGGGAGCAAACAGGG